GAAUCCAAAUAGUGAAUUAACAACGAUUUGUAAGAAUACAGUAUUGAAACCGAAGAUUGAAAUAUGUGGACUUUCUGCAUAGUAUUGUUGGUAUUUAGCCAUUUACAUGAGUUUGGCGUAGAUGCUAUAAUUGACGACAAUGCUAUCUACAAUCAACAAAUUAAAACUGUAACGAUUCCAGAUACUCCUCAAAAUUGUUUGUUUGUUUCAUCGGAAACUGGAUACUUUACUUACAAAUCAACUAGCAAUCGCACAACCACUUGUGGUAUCUAUUUUGUGACUAGCUCACGUAAUUUGAUAGAAAUAGCUUUUACCCAAUUUGAUGUACCAUGCAAUAAAAAUAGAGGAGUGGGUGGCUUAGUUCAGUACCGUGAUGGUUGGGAACUUAAAAGAGAAGUUUUCCCGAGUGAAGAGGGUCUGUCUAAAUAUUCUACUGAAGAGACGGAGUUUUGUUCCGACAAUAAACCGUUACACAAAACAUUCGUAAGUUCUCAAAAUGGUGCUCAAAUAUCAUACAGAAUACCACACAUUGGGAAAGGAUUUACAAUAUUCGUUGAUCACAAAAAACAUCCGUCUCCUUGCAAUAUUAUACACUUUGAUGAACCGUAUUAUCUGUUACAAAACCACGGUCAGAAAAGAAAUUGCUCUAUUUGGGCCUCAUAUCCUACAGCAGUUCAAUUUAAUUCUUUUAAUAUAGGAAAUAGAAAUUCCAGAACCUCAAAUAUCUUACAGUGUGCUCAUGCUGCGGAUCAUAUAGAAAUCGGAGGAGGUCACUUGGACCCAAAUCGUAUUGAAAUUUUAAACUUCAUUUGUAGUAAAGCCGAAGCUAAUGUUUUUCAUGAAGACUUGAUUAAUUGCCCAUCUUCGACAAUCAAAUUAGUAUCAAGUGGUAAUCAUGAUAAUAGGGUUAACAUUUCUAUGCGACCUGUCGAUGCAAGUGUAGAUAAAAUUACAAAUGCAAAAUAUUCAUGUAUUUCUUCGACUAAAUAAUUUCAGUGUAACGGAAAAAUAUGAGAAAUCGCAUCAUUUAUAAAAAACAAAUAUAAAUAAUUUGAAUCCAUAUCGGUAAUAUAUAUUUUUCUAUAUAUAUAAACGUUUCUACAGAAUUUAUUUUUUAAAUAUAUAUGUAUAACUAAUCUCAUGAAAAAAGUCUUUGAAUUUUGCAUGGUUUCAAGAAAAUGUAUGUUGAGGGUACGCUUUUAAUUUUACGAUUGAAUGGUACAAUGAGUAUCAAAAGAUUGGUAAUAUGCAGGCCCACCUCCCGCUCUUUUGCGAUAUUCAUUUUUUUCCCACGGAGGCAUUCAAAUUAUCUGGAAACUACGUAUAAAAGAUUUUGCAGAUCUAGGUCUCUAGGAACUGCGAUCUCUGUCGCUACGAAAGUCCUUUGUUACUCACCUGCAGUUAGAAGUCCUUCUCUUAAAUAAGUUCAUUAGAAAUCCAUAAAAACUAAUUGGAAAACGAGUUUUUUAACUUUAUAAACGAAUUAUUCGAGUAAUUAAUAAUAAAACUUUCACGCCUGUUGUGAAGUUGCGUUCCACACAAUUAUAAUUAAGCAUGAAAAUACUAUUACGUUCAUAAACUGAAAAUCAGGCUGCUGAUGGAUAACAAAUAAGACUAAUACGAAUUUACUGAUUAUCGUCCUGAAAAAUAAAAGAAUAAACACUAUCUCGAAUAUGUAAUAUAUUCGUGCAGACCUAAAUAAGCCUGGCCAAUCGCCCAUUCUUUCGUUCAGGCGUCGUAUGUGUAUAUAAAAGAAGACGAAAACUUCCUGCCGAAAUCUUUGCAAAUUCACUAUACCACAACCUACGGAGUGUCCCGUAGUACAAAUUCUAUAUGCUGCUCCGUCUGUCAAUAAAAGGGAAAUCUACAAAAUUAUGCUCCGACUCAAUCAAUAGCAAUCAAACACCACUACAACAAAAAAAUGACAUCGCGGAUAGUACACAUGAUUUGAAUACAGUUGAAACUAAUAACGGGAUUCUGUCACAACAGCAAAAUAUAUUCUACAGUAAACGAGCGAGCACUUUCUCAAACAGUCAACUCAGAAAUUGACUGCUAAAAUGCCCACCACCAACGAAUGUUCUUGCCGAUUUGGUGAAGCUGCGAGAUGAUGUGUUGACAUGGAGCGGUAAUGCAAACGAAUUUCUAUAUAAAACGUCGUCUACACCCAAGAAGAAAAUCAAACUUAAUCAAGAUAAGCCCAAAUAAUCAACUGCCUUAGACUCAAGUAGUAGGGACAAGAUCCUUCUCUUAAUAAAAGAGACGAGACAAAAAUUUCCAAAAAAUUAAGCGCUUUCCACCAAGGAAACCGUCUGCGUUGAGUGCAAAGGACAUUUCUGAACUUCGUAGAUGGUAGUUACCCUUAGUAGCAAUCAAACAGCCAGGCCGGAAAAAAAUAAUAUAAGUGUAU